rnacentral:rRNA from 1 species
UGAGCAAUCUGCCCUUCUCGUCGGAAUAAGCGUUGGAAACGACGUCUAAUGCCGAAUACGACCUCCUUUCGCAUGAUCGGAGGUGGAAAGCUCCGGCGGAGAAGGAUGAGCUCGCGGCCUAUCAGCUAGUUGGUGUGGGUAAUGGCCCACCAAGGCGACGACGGGUAGCCGGCCUGAGAGGGUGACCGGCCACACGUGGGACUGAGACACGGCCCAGACCUCCGUACGGGGAGGCAGCG